GACGAACGCUGGCGGCGUGCUUAACACAUGCAAGUCGAACGGAAAGGCCUUUUCGGUGGUACUCGGGUGGCAGACGGGGGAGUAACACGAGGGUGAGGUGCCCCUCACUCUGGGAUAAGCCUGAGAAAGUGGAUCUGAUGCUGGUACGGGCCGCACUUUUGAGCGGGAGGGGGAAAGAGUUUUCGGUGUAGGUGGAGCCCGCGGCCUAUGAGUUUGAGGGGGGGGUGAUGGCCUACCAGGGCGGCGACGGGUAGCCGGACUGCGGGGUUGGUCGGACACAUUGGGACCGAGCGACGGGCCGGACUACGACGGGAGGCGGCAGGGGGGAAAAUCGGACGAUGGGCGCCAGCCUGAUGGAGGGACGCCGCGUGGGGGAUGACGGCCGUCGGGUUGUAAGCACCUUUCGCCAGGGACCAAGCGUUUUGUGACGGUAACUGGAGAAGAAGCCCCGGCUAACUACGUG
rnacentral:rRNA from 1 species